rnacentral:lncRNA from 1 species
AUGAAGAUCUCAACCACCUCCACACUGUUAAGGCUGGCAAACGAUUGUAGUCACUUUUUCCUGCAGGGUAAGAACCUUCAGGGGAUGCUGCUGUCUCAAGAACUGGUUAUAAAAUCCAGCACAAUGAAUAAACCUCUCUAUAUACCAAAAGUUGCAGCUGUACAUAUAGAGCUGAGAAACAAAUUGCUACAUGUAGAGUGGAACUGCAUCGUGGAAUUCAACCAUCCCUAUAAAUAUCUUUGUGAUGGAUAG